AAUCCAGCAACGCCUAUCCCUACCUCCUCGUGGUACUGGCCGGAGUACGAACAACCUUAGAGUAGAUCGGGUAACCAACCCCCGGUGGGAACUUUGGUCGUAUGCUGACAGAGAAGG
rnacentral:ribozyme from 1 species